UUAUAAAGCAAACAAACAGAUUAAGCAUUAGAUAAUCUGAAACUGGAAUGAGAAGAAAAAAACACAGAACAAGUGUACUUAUAAUUCCAUUUCAUGAAGAUAAGUUAAACUCAAAAGGAAACAAAAGUAGAACACAACACCAAAUAUCUAGAACAAUAUCCAACAACAAAUCGAAAUUCAUGCAAAAGAAAGGGUCCAACAUUACGCCUUAAUGGCAUACUUUCUCACUGGGAAGUAGAUUUCCUUCUUCUUCUCACGCUCUGUCUUCAAGGAGCUCUGUAAGAAAUACCAAGUAAAUUCAUUCAGCCAUUUUAUGAAGAGAGCUUAUAUAACAGAAAUAUCAACCAUUCAUGAAAAGACAAGGCACGAAGAUAAUUCAUCGAAAACAUCAUAAGAAGCUAUUCAAAAGACAAGGCACGAAGAUAAUUCAUCGAAAACAUCAUAAGAAGCUAUUCAUGAAAAGAAGAGUCUCAAAACAACUUCACCAACAAAGAUUGGCCCUAAAAGUCAAAACAUGUAUGUACGUGCUCGGGAGCUUAAUACUCAAGUUCUAUAGUAAACAAAAGGUUUGCACAAGACAUCUGAUACUUCAGCAAGUCAUUUUAAAGUUAAAACUCCCGAUAAGAGGAAAAUAUAUCAUCUAUGCUCCAAUAAGGCACAUUGAUAAAAUAAUGCCAUUGCAGCAAAACUCUACAACAAAACCAAUUUCCCCCAGUCGCCACAAUUAUAAUUGUAACAAAGUGCAUACAAUUAAGAUCCAUAAGUAUUGUCCACAUAAACAAUUAUGAAAAAAUAAGUAAAUGGUUAGUCCUCAUUUAAUGGUACCACAUGUUGUGGCCUAAACCAUGCAAGUUCAAGCUUAAUCUUUGACUUGCUGAAGGAAUGUGGCACAACAUUACAUUCAAAUCUGCCACGUUCCAAGCUUAGGGAAGUGUUUGUCUCAAGGAGGGGAGGGCUGUGGAAAAGAGGAAGGAGCAAGUAGAAGUAAUAGAGGACUUUGGAGGAAAGAGCUUUGCGGAAUACUGUCAAAAUACCACAAUUCCUAUAUUCCACAAUAUUGUCCAUCGCAGAACACGGAAAAUAGUGGUUUUUUCAAAGUCCACUAUACUACCACGCUAUAGCACUGCAAUAGCGGCUGACAACACUUUGUACUACAACGGAUAGCAGAACAAUACACCGGUUUAUUCAAAUUCAGCUAUGCAAUAGCGCCGCUAACCGCUCUAUUUGACAACACUAAUAUUCCCAAGAAUCUACAAAGAUAACUUGAAACAAACACACCCUAAAACUAUAAUGUUUACAUUACAAUGCCAGAAGUUCAAUAUUUAAAAGACACUCCAGAGUAAUUGAUCAGAGAAGCUUCCAUCCAUCAUGAAAAUCAUUAUUUAAUUACAAUUUUCAGUUAGAGAGAAAACCACAAACUUUACAAACUAUUCACUACAUAUUGACACAUCAAUUAACUCCCCUAUCAGCUUACCAAAUAUAAGUUCGAAUUUCAUCAAAUUAUUUCAAAAAAUAUUUUAUUUUCCUUCAUAGAUAGAAACACUUAUUACAAAAUGAUAAAAAAUGUACCUGAUGCUUAGUGAGGCGUCUUCUAAUAGCUCUUGUCUUCUUGGGACGGAGAUCCAACGGCAAGUACUUCUUGGACUUAUAAGCUUCCCUUAAUGCUGUCUUUUGCUUCUGUGAAAUCACAGUCAAGACCUGUGCGAUGUUGAGCCGAACAACUUUGCUGCAUCAAAACAAUAAAAACAAUCAAAUUCAUAAAAAAAAAAAAAAAAAAAAAAACAACGAAAAUUUAUAUCAUCUACCAUACCAUAUGCAGCAAACAAAAAUCGAAAAGAAUCUGUAAUUUAUUUUGUUUGGAUCUUUUUUUGCACAAAUUCGUCCUUAUAAAAAAAAUACAAAAUGAAAAUUAAAACUAAAAUUUAGAUAAAUACACGUUUAUUUUAGUCGCUAAAUCUCAGUGAUCCACUUACAAUACUAGACCCUAGUUUGAAUUAAAACAUACAUUAUAUAAUUAAAAAAACAAAAUAUGUAUACAAUUAAGUGCAAUAGAAUAGCGGAAAAUGCAUACAUCUUGGAGAGCUUAUUUGGGGCACCUCCGGUGACCUUCGCGACGCGAAGGAGAGCAAGUUCGGCUUUCAGAUCCUUCAAUUGAUUCAGAAGAUCUUGUUUUGUUUUUUGUCUCAGCUCAUAUACCUUGACUCCAGCUAUU
rnacentral:lncRNA from 1 species